UGAGGAAGAUAAUGACGGUACUCAACAAGGAAGUGACGGCUAACUACGUGCCAGCAGCCGCAGUAAAACGUACGUCACAAGCGUUGUCCGGAAUUACUGGGUGUAAAGGGAGCGCAGGCGGGAAGACAAGUUGGAAGUGAAAUCCAUCGGCUCCACCCAUGAACUGCUUUCAAAACUGUUUUUCUUGAGUAGUGCAGAGGUAGGCGGAAUUCCCGGUGUAGCGGUGGAAUGCGUAGAUAUCGGGAGGAACACCAGUGGCGAAGGCGGCCUACUGGGCACCAACUGACGCUGAGGCUCGAAAGUGUGGGUAGCAAACAGGAUUAGAUACCCUGGUAGUCCACACCGUAAACGAUGAUUACUAGGUGUUGGAGGAUUGACCCCUUCAGUGCCGCAGUUAACACAAUAAGUAAUCCACCUGGGGAGUACGACCGCAAGGUUGAAACUCAAAGGAAUUGACGGGGGCCCGCACAAGCAGUGGAGUAUGUGGUUUAAUUCGACGCAACGCGAAGAACCUUACCAAGUCUUGACAUCCUGCGACGAUGAUAGAAAUAUGUGUUUCCUUCGGGACACAGAGACAGGUGGUGCAUGGUUGUCGUCAGCUCGUGUCGUGAGAUGUUGGGUUAAGUCCCGCAACGAGCGCAACCCUUAUGGUCAGUUACUACGCAAGAGGACUCUGGCCAGACUGCCGUUGACAAAA
rnacentral:rRNA from 1 species